GCAAGGUUUUCUAAUCAGAGUUUUAAACAACUUGUAUAGUUGCUACCAUUUUUUGGGUAAAUUCAGAACUUAUCCAAGUAUUUGUGUGAAUUUUUUAAGAAUUUAAGCUGAAAAUAGAUAUCUAAAAUCAGCUGCUGAGCCCAGUAGAAAGCAGCACACAUAAAACCUGAAAGGUACACUUGGUCCGGGGAAUUAUCAAAGUGUGGGUGACAUUUUGAAAAAUGCUGAGCACAAACUUACUGGGAUAAAGUGGUACAAUAAAGACUCCUGGCUUGAAGAAAGUGAAUGUUCAAGAGUUGUGGUAUUAACAUAGUGAAAUCUUUAGCUCCUGCCCUGAGGAGUUGCUUUUCAUUGCUUGAAGUCUCAGGGUGGCUGCCUGUUAAGUAGUGUCAAAAAAUGAGUCGCUGCAGGUUUCCUGCUUUGAAUUGGAAAGCACUCUGGAUCAGAAAGGAUUGCAGGAACCUAAGCCUUUCAGUUUCUUCAGCGUAAAGCAAGUUAACUGAUGUCUUCUAGGUGACCUCUGAAAGUCACUUGUAAUUCUUCAGCAGGCUGGAGCCCCUGCUGCAAUGCCACAGCAGCUCACACCUUGUUGCAAUCUGAGUCUCCUGGAACAAUAAUCAUCCAGAGCCACCCUCGCUGCAGAUGGACUGGCUUCCUUUGAGCUACGUUCCUCCCACUUCUGACAUUCCUGCUGCCUUGGGAUCCAAAUCUGCGCUUCAGACUGUUUGUGAAGAAAAUUCCUUCACACAGACAAGUGGCAAGCAAAACACUUUACAUGCAGGACCAAGAUGCUCACAAUUGUGUCUACCUUUCAAGGAGUAUGACUCCACAUUCCCUACCCACUGAUGUAAAUGUUUUCUUUUUAGCAUAACUUAAGUUGUUUAAUCACAGCAUGAAAACAUUAGGCAUAUGUUCAAUUUCCAGUUAUUAUCAGUGUCAUUUCUUGUUUGGCUUAUGAGCCAUAAAGGUUCUUUUUUUAAAAAAUAUCAUUUUGUUUUGACAUUCCAGGUUCUGCAUAUUUUAAGCAGUGCUUUUGCUAGUGCUCUGUGGGUGUUUGGACUCUGGGAACCCUCUUGACUAAAUAAAUGCCUCAUCAUUCACUUUUGAUAUCUGACA
rnacentral:lncRNA from 1 species